CGUUGAUUACGUCCCUGCCCUUUGUACACACCGCCCGUCGCUACUACCGAUUGAAUGGCUCAGUGAGGCUUUCGGACUGGCCUAGGGAGAGUGGCAACACUCACCCAG
rnacentral:rRNA from 1 species